rnacentral:lncRNA from 1 species
GAAAACAACAGGAAAGUCAGGGUUCCUUGUUAUAGUGCACCAUCAUUCAGAUUGGUUCCUUUGGCUCUGAGAAAACUGCCGGACAAAAUUAGGUGGAAGAAAAAUAAUAAUAAUAGAGGAAAAGCAAUAUGUCACCCGACAUUGUCGAUCGGGUGACAUAAUAAUAGGGAAAAAGAAACAGAGGAAAAGCAAUAUGUCACCCGACAUUGUCGAUCGGGUGACAUAAUAAGAAAAAAAAGAAACGUAGAAUAACAAUACGUCACCCCAACUCCGUUGAGGGUGCCAUAAUAAAAAUAAUAAGAACUGAGCAAAAACAAUAAGUCUCCAAACUUUGUUUGGGAGACUUAAUUAAAAAGGGGGAAGGAUAUUAAAAAUCGAAUAAGUAACGAAUAAGGAAUAGGGAAUAAGUAACGAAUAGGUAACGAUAGGGAAUAGGGAAUAAGUAACGAAUAGGUAACGAAUAGGUAACGAAUAGGGAAUAGGGAAUAGGUAACGAAUAGGUAACGAAUCUGGAAUAGGGAAUAGGUAACGAAUAGGGAAUAGGUAACGAAUAGGGAAUAGGGAAUAGGUAACCAA